rnacentral:rRNA from 1 species
GUGGUCAGGUAGAGAAUACCGAGGCGUACGAGUGAACUAUGGUUAAGGAACUCGGCAAAAUGCCCCCGUAACUUCGGGAGAAGGGGGACCCACGUACCGUCAUGGCUUUUGCGGCCGGCAGCGGGGGUGGGUGGCACAAACCAGUGAGAAGCGACUGUUUACUAAAAACACAGGUCCGUGCGAAGUCGCAAGACGAUGUAUACGGACUGACGCCUGCCCGGUGCUGGAAGGUUAA